GACGAAGGUGGCGAGCGUUGUUCGGAAUCACUGGGCAUAAAGCGCACGUAGGCGGUGUCGUAAGUCGGAUGUGAAAUCCCUCGGCCUAACCGAGGAACUGCGUCCGAUACUGCGAUGCUUGAGGAUCAGAGGGGUGCAUGGAAUUUCCGGUGGAGCGGUGAAAUGCGUUGAUAUCGGAAGGAACUCCGGCGGCGAAGGCAGCUGGCUACACAAAUAUUGACACUGAGGCACGAAAGCGUGGGGAUCAAACAGG
rnacentral:rRNA from 1 species